GCUACGGGUGGCAGCAGUGGGGAAUAUUGGGCAAUGGGCGCAAGCCUGACCCAGCAACGCCGCGUGAAGGAAGAAGGCUCUCGGGUUGUAAACUUCUUUUAUCAGUGACGAAGCAAGUGACGGUAUCUGAUGAAUAAGCCACGGCUAACUACGUGCCAGCAGCCGAGGUAAUACGUAGGUGGCAAGCGUUAUCCGGAUUUACUGGGUGUAAAGGGGGUGUAGGCGGGGAAGCAAGUCGGAUGUGAAAACCCUGGGCUCAACCUGUGGCCUGCAUUUGAUACUGUGUUUCUUGAGUACUGGAGAGGCAGACGGAAUUCCUAGUGUAGCGGUGAAAUGCGUAGAUAUUAGGAAGAACACCAGUGGCGAAGGCGGUCAGCUGGACAGCAACUGACGCUGAGGCGCGAAAGCAUGGGGAUCAAACAGGAUUAGAUACCCUGGUAGUC
rnacentral:rRNA from 1 species